rnacentral:misc_RNA from 1 species
GCACGUUGCACCUCCACCAACCUAUGUCAUGACUUGAUCCCAUAGGUCGGACCGGCACUGGGACCUAGGCCAGCAUAAAGCCCCUGAGACCUGUAGUAAGCCUUGUUGUUCCCAAAUCCAUAACCAGGGUCAAAAACUGAGGCCCAACAUGUGAAUAAAAUAAAAUAGAAUAUUACAUUUUUAUUUGGAUCAACCAAACCCGAUAACCAUAAAAAACUAAAGUCAG